AAGCCAGACUCCUACGGGAGGCAGCAGUGGGGAAUAUUGCACAAUGGGGGGAACCCUGAUGCAGCGACGCCGCGUGGGUGAAGGAGCACCUCGGUGCGUAAAGCCCUAUCGGCAGGGAAGAAACAGACGGUACCUGACUAAGAAGCCCCGGCUAACUACGUGCCAGCAGCCGCGGUAAUACGUAGGGGGCAAGCGUUAUCCGGAUUCACUGGGUGUAAAGGGAGCGUAGACGGCGACGCAAGUCUGGAGUGAAAGCCCGGGGCCCAACCCCGGGACUGCUCUGGAAACUGCGGCGCUGGAGUACGGGAGGGGCAGGCGGAAUUCCUGGUGUAGCGGUGAAAUGCGUAGAUAUCAGGAGGAACACCGGCGGCGAAGGCGGCCUGCUGGACCGUGACUGACGUUGAGGCUCGAGAGCGUGGGGAGCAAACAGGAUUAGAUACCCGGGUAAAG
rnacentral:rRNA from 1 species